ensembl:lncRNA
GCUGUGGUGUAGGCCGGUGGCUACAGCUCUGAUUAGACCCCUAGCCUGCGAACCUCCAUAUGCUGUGGGUGCAGCCUAGAAAUGGCAAAAAAAAAAAAAAAGACAAUAAAUAAAUAAAUAAAUAAAUAAAUAAAAUAAAAAAAUAAAAAUGACUUCUUAGGAAAAGAGCAAUAAGGCUCUUGCCCUGUGGAGACCAUGAGAACCGUACAGUGAGAUGGGGUUGCCAGGUGCCCACUCAGCCUGUCGGGGACGUGCCUUGUGGCGGGAGGGACCAGCUGGGGGAUGGGCAGCAGAAGGCCCAGCUUUGGGACUGGCAGGCGUGCCAGCGAGUCAGCAUGGCUUGCGGUCAGUGGGGAUGAGACUGAAACGUGUCAGGACAUUUAUCCUGAGUCAUUUCAGAGCAAACGUGUGACGGGACCAGCCCAUGUCCACGCUUCCUGUGGGUGACGCUCCCAGAGCCAGCUGGCCCAGGGAGCAGCGGGUGGGGGUUUCCGGUCCUCUCGAACCCUGGGAAAGCCUGCCUUUGGGUGGAGGGUGUCUUUCCUGCCCUUCAGCAAUUCCCGGGGCAGCUUUGCAUCCGGGCCUUUCUCCGCCGUCCAGACCAGUAGCAAGAACGGUCCUUGGUAAGGAGGGAAGCUGCUGCCAUAGUUGACAGGGGCUUCCUGGGUGUUGUAAGUUUUAAAAUCCCAUUUCUCUCUCUUAUGAACUUCUUAGCAUUGAAACCACCUCUGGACACCAACAAAGGUGAGGGUCAUUUAAUCCGGAUGAGAACUGGCUUUCCCACUCUACUUCCGACGGCUCAGUGCAGCGAGGGCACUGGUUCUGAUUCUGCCUUUGGAAGCCCAGGAAGGGCCUGGGCACAGAAGCGGCUGCUGAGUCUCCUUCGCAGACCUCGCCUGGCUGCUCCUCCAGGCCGGUCAGGACGUGCCACGUGUGGGAUGUCUUUGAGUGUGUCUCCGAUUUCUAGCCUCCUAUGAAGUUCUAGGCUCAGCAUCUUAAGGCCUCCUUUCUGUCCUCUUCAUCCCACAGCCGUGGUGUCGGAAGACAGGGCAAACUCAGUAUUCCUUGGUUUGAACUGAAUUGCGUCAUUUCCUGGUUUAAGAAGAGAACGAACUUGGAAUUUUAAAACUGUAAGUUUUGUUUUGUUAAUUAAACACUGAACAAAUGGUAAACUUUUUUUUUUUUAAAUCGUUGGAAUUCCCCAACAACCAAGAUGAAAACAAUGCCAACAAAAUAUUUUAAAGUCAUUGAUAUUUUUAUUUGUAUAGAUCCAGAACAGGACGAUUUUGCUGUAAAGUCAAACAAGAAUGUCCCAGUAAGUGGGGACACCUGAAACGAUCCCCUUGCAAUGACCUGGCACAAGUCGAAUACAAUUUCUAGAGUUUCCCCUACACCCUUCUAGGGUUUGCUACCAGCUUGAUAGCUGUCAUCGAAACCAUUGCCCCAGCUAGAAAGGGACAUGGGCAGAUGGACACUGAACCCUCCGCACACCACUGGGAGGCUCAUACGCACAAACCACGAGAGCAAACACUGUAUGCAAAGGUUUGCUGUUGUGUCCUAGUGUCUCUGAAUCCACUGACUUUUGCAUGAUUUGGGUGUGGGAGCUCCGUCCAAUAUUUUAAGACAGAAUGUGUUUGGACACUGAGGUCGUC